rnacentral:rRNA from 1 species
CUACGGGAGGCACCAGUAAGGAAUAUUGCGCAAUGGAGGCAACUCUGACGCAGCCAUGCCGCGUGCAGGAAGAAGGCCUUAUGGGUCGUAAACUGCUUUUAUUUAGGAAUAAACCCCCGAACGUGUUCGGGGCUGAGGGUACUAAACGAAUAAGCACCGGCUAACUCCGUGACCAGCAGCCGCGGUAAUACGGAGGGUGCAAGCGUUAUCCGGAUUUAUUGGGUUUAAAGGGUGCGCAGGCGGGCUAUUAAGUCAGUGGUGAAAUCCCGGGGCUCAACUCCGGAACUGCCAUUGAUACUGAUAGUCUUGAGUUUGGUUGAAGUGGGCGGAAUGUAGCAUGUAGCGGUGAAAUGCAUAGAUAUGCUACAGAACACCAAUCGCGAAGGCAGCUCACUAAGCCAAAACUGACGCUCAUGCACGAAAGCGUGGGGAUCAAACAGGAUUAGAUACCCGGGUAGUC